rnacentral:ncRNA from 1 species
UCCUGGUCAAUAAUGUCAUCUGCCGUCUUCAGGUAUUUUAAAAUGCAUAAAAGAGUUUUUUAAUAAUCAGUGAAAAACUUUAAUUGAAAACGUACUCUGCAAAUUCCUCUUAAUUCGUAAGAAGUUAAAUUAAAUCAUAUACUUUCUGUAUCUGUAUUCCUUCUGUUCCUAUCUACUAUCUAGCGAAAUCACAGCCGAGGGAAAGGAGUUGGCAGAAUCAGCGGGGAAAGAAGACCUUGUUGAGCUUGACUCUAGUCUGAUUCUGUGAAGAGAUAAUGAGAGAUGUAGUAUAAGUGGGAGAUCGCUCUGCGGUCGUCAGUGAAAUACCACUACUUUUGUUGUAUCUUUACUGACUCCGUCAAGCGGAGAACGGUCCGAAAAGAGCACGUUUCUAGCACUAAGUGUGGGGACUGUGAGCCCUGUACGAUCCGCUCUGAGGACAGUGUCAGAUACUUUCUGUAUCUGUAACCAUUUUAUAUUUGUUUCUAAACUUAUUCCCGGCUUUUAAAACGU